rnacentral:rRNA from 1 species
AACGAACGCUGGCGGCAUGCCUAACACAUGCAAGUCGAACGGGAUCCUAGCUUGCUAGGUGAGAGUGGCGGACGGGUGAGUAACACGUGGGAAUCUGCCUUUUGGUUCGGGAUAACCGCGGGAAACUGCGGCUAAUACCGAAUGCCCUCGAGAGAGGAAAGAUUUAUCGCCAGAAGAGGAGCCCGCGUCCGAUUAGGUAGUUGGUGGGGUAAAGGCCUACCAAGCCGACGAUCGGUAGCUGGUCUGAGAGGAUGAUCAGCCACACUGGGACUGAGAUACGGCCCAGACUCCUACGGGAGGCAGCAGUGGGGAAUAUUGGACAAUGGGGGCAACCCUGAUCCAGCAAUGCCGCGUGAGUGAUGAAGGCCUUAGGG